GAUGAACGCUGGCGGCGUGCCUAAUACAUGCAAGUCGAACGAAACUUCUUUAUCACCGAGUGCUUGCACUCACCGAUAAAGAGUUGAGUGGCGAACGGGUGAGUAACACGUGGGCAACCUGCCCAAAAGAGGGGGAUAACACUUGGAAACAGGUGCUAAUACCGCAUAACCAUAGUUACCGCAUGGUAACUAUGUAAAAGGUGGCUAUACUACCGCUUUUGGAUGGGCCCGCGGCCCAUUAGCUAGUUGGUAGGGUAAAGGCUUACCAAGGCAAUGAUGCGUAGCCGAAUUGAGAGGUUGAUCGGCCACAUUGGGACUGAGACACGGCCCAAACUCCUACGGGAGGCAGCAGUAGGGAAUCUUCCACAAUGGGCGAAAGCCUGAUGGAGCAACGCCGCGUGGGUGAAGAAGGUCUUCGGAUCGUAAAACCCUGUUGUUAGAGAAGAAAGUGCGUGAGAGUAACUGUUCACGUUUCGACGGUAUCUAACCGGAAAGCCACGGCUAACUACGUG
rnacentral:rRNA from 1 species